GUAAGAGUAUAAAUAUAAUAUUGGAAUGGUAUGCUGAGCAGAGAUCGAGAUAGUGAACAAUCUAGCCAAGUAUUUAGUAUAUAUAUAUAUAUUAAGUUUAGUUGCCUUGAGACAGUUUGUUAUUUUGAUGAUGCCCCACGCGUUUCGGGGACGCCUGAACUGUGUGGUGUGAGGAUUGUGGCUCAGAUUGAAGUGUUAUCUCUGAG
rnacentral:lncRNA from 1 species